GAAACCUGGUUGAUCCUGCCAGUAGCAUACGCUUGUCUCAAAGAUUAAGCCAUGCAUGUCUAAGUAUAAACGAUUAUACUGUGAAACUGCGAAUGGCUCAUUAUAUCAGUUAUAGUUUAUUUGAUGGUCCUACUACUUGGAUAACCGUAGUAAUUCUAGAGCUAAUACAUGCAUCAAACCCAGACUUACGAAUG
rnacentral:rRNA from 1 species